AUCAAACUGAGCCUCGUUCAGGAGCCCAGCAGUGGUAAACUGUGGUUUUUGAGGCUUUAACCAGCAACGUUCAGCCAGGUCUGUAUCAGAAAAUAAAAAAAACUUAAACUCGACCAGGAUUUUUCUGGCAGGACUUUGUUUCAGUAGUGUGUGAAAUUUGUAUUGCACUGGCGUGUCUGUAUAUGCUGAUGAGCUACUAGUGGAAAACCACUGGAAAAUAAUGAACAAUUAAAGUCAAAGUAAACUUUAUUGUCAUUCAGACUAUACUAUAGAGUGUUGUAUGACACAGCUGAACGAGAUUGCGUUUCUCAAACUCCAAUGUGCAAAUAUAACAAGAGCAUAUAGAUGUAAGACAACAGAAAGACAUACUAGACAUCAUUUAGUUAAGUAAUAGCUGCAUUAUGAAGAUAUUAACUAGAAAUAAAUAUGUUCAGACAGUCUGUGUGUGUGUUUAGGAGUUGUGAUAGGCUGGCAUGUAGUGUAUUGUUAAUGAAGUUAGGUAGUUUAAUGGCCUGAUAGGCUGGUAUGUUGUGUGUUGUUACAGGGAGUUGAGUAGUCUGGUGUCUUGUGGAAAGAAGCUCUUGCUGAGUCUGGUAGUCUUGUAUGGCAUGCUGUGGUAGCAUUUGCCAGAGGGCAGACGGCUGAACGGUCAAUAGGUCAGGUGGGUGGGGAACUAAUAUAACUAAUUAUAUUGUGCUAAAAAGUUGGUGAAGUACUGAAUAACUGUGAGGUUUAAAACAGAAGAAACACCUGCAACUGAAUCCUAAAAAAUACCAAGCUCAAAUAAGGAACCAACGAGAAGAAUCAGAAGCCAGAUUUAUUUUACAAAUCCUAAGAGAUACGACAUGGAUAAGAAGGAGGAACCCAUGAGUUAUUCAGAAGCUGUAAGCAAGGCUGCCAGUGCAAUGUGUCGUUCUCCUUUAAUAGAGGUGCAGGGCGUCCCCCUCAUGAACUGGAUCGCCAACAACUGGAGCCUGAUUUCAGCCUUCCAACCAGAUCCAUCUGAUUUACUCAUCGCUACCUACCCCAAAGCAGGAACUACCUGGACUCAGGAGAUUGUGGAUCUGCUGCUGCAUGAUGGAGAUGCCGAGGUUUGUAAGCGAGCACCUACUGCUGUACGCAUCCCGUGCCUGGAGAUCCAAUUUCCUCCCCCAGUUCCUUCAGGUCUGGACGUACUCAAAACAAUGAAACCUCCAAGAGUCAUCAAAACACACCUGCCCAUACAGCUAGUGCCUAAAGGCUACUGGGAAAAUAAAUGCAAGGUGAUUUAUGUGGCUCGGAACGCGAAGGACAACCUGGUCAGCUAUUACCACUUUGAUCGAAUGAAUCAGACUCAGCCUGAACCAGGUCCCUGGGACCAAUACAUCCACAAGUUCAUGAGGGGAAAAUUGUCAUGGGGCUCCUGGUACGACCAUGUGAAAGGAUACUGGAGGGAAAAAGAAAACAGGAACAUCCUCUACCUGUUCUUUGAGGACAUAAAAGAAAACCCUCGUCAAGAGAUAUUAUGGAUCAUGCGCUACCUGGACUUGUCACUACCUGAUGACAUAAUUAACAAGAUUGUGCAGCUGACAUCUUUUGAAGUGAUGAAGGACAAUCUGAUGACCAACUACACCUUCAUUCCAAAGACAGUGUUAGACAGUUCCAUCUCCCCCUUGAGAAUGGGAAAGGUGAGGUUGGAGACUGGAUUAAUCAUUUCACCCCGGCUCAAUCCGAAAUGUUCGAUGAGAACUACACAAGACAAAUGGCGGAUGUGGACAUUCCCUUUCGUACCAGCAUAUAAUUCAGCUACAGAUGAUGAGCGGGAGCGUGGAGUUGAGUAGUCUGGUGUCUUGUGGAAAGAAGCUCUUGCUGAGUCUGGCAGUCUUGCAUCGCAUGCUGUGGUAGCAUUUGCCAGAGGGCAGAAGGAUGAACGGUCCAUAGGUCAGAGGUGCAGGGCGUCCCCCUCAGGAGCUGGAUCGCCAACAGCUGGAGCCUGAUUUCAGCCUUCCAACCAGAUCCAUCUGAUUUACUCAUC